rnacentral:tmRNA from 1 species
GGGGGCGAAACGGCUUCGACGGGGAUAAAGAAGCUCAGGUUGCAUGCCGAGUUCCUGCCGUCUCGUAAAACUGGCGGGAAUUAAAUAUAAUCGCUGACGAUUAUAACUACGCCGUAGCUGCAUAGCUACCGUUCUACCAGGUUUUUCCCACGCGCCUGGAUAGAACGUCGACUAGUGGGAUAGCCGUAGCUGAAUGCCUGCUACAGCAACGGCGAACUUUUAGCGGGAUAGCCUUUGCAGCACCCUGCCUGAUGGAGGCUUCGCAGAGGCGAUAC